rnacentral:rRNA from 1 species
GAUGAACGCUGGCGGCGUGCCUAAUACAUGCAAGUCGAGCGAACAGACGAGGAGCUUGCUCCUCUGACGUUAGCGGCGGACGGGUGAGUAACACGUGGAUAACCUACCUAUAAGACUGGGAUGACUUCGGGAAACCGGAGCUAAUACCGGAUAAUAUAUUGAACCGCAUGGUUCAAUAGUGAAAGACGGUUUUGCUGUCACUUAUAGAUGGAUCCGCGCCGCAUUAGCUAGUUGGUAAGGUAACGGCUUACCAAGGCAACGAUGCGUAGCCGACCUGAGAGGUGGAUCGGCCACACUGGAACUGAGACACGGUCCAGACUCCUACGGGAGGGAGCAGUAGGGAAUCUUCCGCAAUGGGCGAAAGCCUGACGGAGCAACGCCGCGUGAGUGAUGAAGGUCUUCGGAUCGUAAAACUCUGUUAUUAGGGAAGAACAAAUGUGUAAGUAACUAUGCACGUCUUGACGGUACCUAAUCAGAAAGCCACGGCUAACUACGUG